UAAGGUAGCAUAAUCAUUUGGCUUUUAAAUGGGGUCUUGUAUGAAGGAAGAAUGGGGGGAUACUGUCUCUACUAAAUUUAAUAAAAGUUGCUUAUAAGGUGAAAAUACCUUAAAAAAUAAAUUAGACGAGAAGACCCUAGGAGUUUAAUAUAUUUUGUUGGGGCGACACAACAACAUUUAACUUGUUGAAUUAUAUUUAUGUAUCGGAUAUUUCAUAUAAAUAUAAGCUACCCUAGGGAUAACAGCAUAAUUUAUUAAAGUUUGUGACCUCGAUGUUGGACUAGGGUAAUUUUAUUAUUAAAAAUAAUAAAAGGUAGUUCUGUUCGAA
rnacentral:rRNA from 1 species